rnacentral:rRNA from 1 species
GACGAACGCUGGCGGCGUGCUUAACACAUGCAAGUCGAACGGAAAGGCCCUGCUUUUGUGGGGUGCUCGAGUGGCGAACGGGUGAGUAACAAGUGAGUAACCUGCCCUUGGCUUUGGGAUAACUUCAGGAAACUGGGGCUAAUACCGGAUAGGAGCUCCUGCUGCAUGGUGGGGGUUGGAAAGUUUCGGCGGGUGGGGAUGGACUCGCGGCUUAGCAGCUUGUUGGUGGGGUAGUGGCUUACCAAGGCUUUGACGGGUAGCCGGCCUGUGAGGGUGACCGGCCACAUUGCGAGAUACAUACGGCCCAGACUCCUACAGGAGGCAGCGGUGGUGAAUAUUGUACUAAGAGCGGAUGCCUGAUGCAGCAACGCCGCCAGCGGGAUAACGGCCUUCGGAUUAUAAACCUUUUUCGCCUGUAACGAAGCUUGAGUGACGGUAAUGGGUAAAGAUGCUCCGGCUAGCUACGUU